rnacentral:rRNA from 1 species
UGGGGAAUAUUGCACAAUGGGCGGAAGCCUGAUGCAGCGACGCCGCGUGAGGGAUGACGGCCUUCGGGUUGUAAACCUCUUUCAGCAGGGACGAAGCGUAAGUGACGGUACCUGCAGAAGAAGCACCGGCUAACUACGUGCCAGCAGCCGCGGUAAUACGUAGGGUGCGAGCGUUGUCCGGAAUUACUGGGCGUAAAGAGCUCGUAGGCGGUUUGUCACGUCGUCUGUGAAAUCCUAGGGCUUAACCCUGGACGCGCAGGCGAUACGGGCUGACUUGAGUACUACAGGGGAGACUGGAAUUUCUGGUGUAGCGGUGGAAUGCACAGAUAUCAGGAAGAACACCGAUGGCGAAGGCAGGUCUCUGGGUAGCAACUGACGCUGAGGAGCGAAAGCAUGGGUAGCGAACAGGAUUAGAUACCCUGGUAGUCCAUGCCGUAAACGGUGGGCGCUAGGUGUGGGGUUCCUUCCACGGGCUCCGCGCCGUAGCUAACGCAUUAAGCGCCCCGCCUGGGGAGUACGGCCGCAAGGCUA